AACGAACGCUGGCGGCAUGCCUAACACAUGCAAGUCGAACGAACCCUUCGGGGUUAGUGGCGCACGGGUGCGUAACGCGUGGGAAUCUGCCCUUUGCUUCGGAAUAACAGUUAGAAAUGACUGCUAAUACCGGAUGAUGUCUUCGGACCAAAGAUUUAUCGGCAAGGGAUGAGCCCGCGUAGGAUUAGGUAGUUGGUGGGGUAAAGGCCUACCAAGCCGACGAUCCUUAGCUGGUCUGAGAGGAUGAUCAGCCACACUGGGACUGAGACACGGCCCAGACUCCUACGGGAGGCAGCAGUGGGGAAUAUUGGACAAUGGGCGCAAGCCUGAUCCAGCAAUGCCGCGUGAGUGAUGAAGGCCUUCGGGUCGUAAAGCUCUUUUACCCGGGAUGAUAAUGACAGUACCGGGAGAAUAAGCCCCGGCUAACUCCGUGCCAGCAGCCGCAGUAAAAC
rnacentral:rRNA from 1 species